rnacentral:misc_RNA from 1 species
GCAAACUUGGUCAUUUAGAGGAAGUAAAAGUCGUAACAAGGUUUCCGUAGGUAAGUAGAGGCUUUCCAUCUUUAUACCCCCUUAUUUCUAUGCUUGAAUAAUGUGCUAACUUUUCCCUUUUAGGUGAACCUGCGGAAGGAUCAUUAUAGAGUGUUUACCCCCCCAUAAAAAGGGGGAUUAACCUCCCCGUCCUUUGCUGAGCCCCCCUUUCUGGCGGGCUUUUCAAAAUCUUCUGCUUCGGCGGGGUUUACCCGUCGGAACACUCUCAAAAUUCUUGGUUAAAACCUUUCUGUCCGAGAACUGGGAAAAAAAAUUAUUGAAAACUUUCAACAACGGAUCUCUUGGUUCUGGCAUCGAUGAAGAACGCAGC